GACGUGCUAAUCUGCGAUAAGCGUCGGUAAGGUGAUAUGAACCGUUAUAACCGGCGAUUUCCGAAUGGGGAAACCCAGUGUGAUUCGUCACACUAUCAUUAACUGAAUCCAUAGGUUAAUGAGGCGAACCGGGGGAACUGAAACAUCUAAGUACCCCGAGGAAAAGAAAUCAACCGAGAUUCCCCCAGUAGCGGCGAGCGAACGGGGAGCAGCCCAGAGCCUGAAUCAGUGUGUGUGUUAGUGGAAGCGUCUGGAAAGGCGCGCGAUACAGGGUGACAGC
rnacentral:rRNA from 1 species